UCAGGCCUAACACAUGCAAGUCGAGCGGGGGCUUCGGUCCUAGCGGCGAACGGGUGAGGAAUACUUGGGAAUCUGCCUUGUAGUGGGGGAUAACGUUCCGAAAGGAACGCUAAUACCGCAUACGUCCUACGGGAGAAAGGGGGGGAUCUUCGGACCUCUUGCUAUAAGAUGAGCCCAAGUCGGAUUAGCUAGUUGGUGAGGUAAAGGCUCACCAAGGCGACGAUCCGUAGCUGGUCUGAGAGGAUGAUCAGCCACACUGGAACUGAGACACGGUCCAGACUCCUACGGGAGGCAGCAGUGGGGAAUAUUGGACAAUGGGGGCAACCCUGAUCCAGACAGGCCGCGUGUGUGAAGAAGGCCUUCGGG
rnacentral:rRNA from 1 species